UACAGAGGUCCCGAGCGUUGUUCGGAUUUAUUGGGCGUAAAGGGUGCGUAGGCGGCGGAGUAAGUUGGGUGUGAAAUCCCGGGGCUUAACCUCGGAAUUGCAUUCAAUACUGCUUCGCUUGAGUACUGGAGAGGAGGCUGGAAUUUACGGUGUAGCGGUGAAAUGCGUAGAUAUCGUAAGGAAGACCAGUGGCGAAGGCGGGUCUCUGGACAGUUCCUGACGCUGAGGCACGAAGGCCAGGGGAGCAAACGGG
rnacentral:rRNA from 1 species